CGAAAAAGGUGCCUCGAGCGAUCGAGGUUAAAAGGGAAGCCGGUUAGAUUCCGGCGCGGUCCCGCCACUGUACGUGCUAGCUCAUCCGCUUUUGCCACCGGAAAACUUCCGGGAAGGCGCCGAUGAAGUGUCGAUGCACAAGCCAGGAGACCUGCCUUUUUUCGU
rnacentral:ncRNA from 1 species